GAAGUUAUAGGUUAAAAAUAAUAAACCUUGGGCCUUCAAAGCCUAAAAUGAGUAUUUCUAACUUU
rnacentral:tRNA from 1 species